rnacentral:rRNA from 1 species
GCUGGCGGUAUGCUUAACACAUGCAAGUCGAACGAGAAGGAAGAGCUUGCUCUUCCUGAAAGUGGCGAACGGGUGAGUAACGCGUGGGUAACCUACCCUUUGGAAAGGAAUAGCCACGGGAAACUGGGAGUAAUGCCUUAUAAGAUACGUUUGUCGCAUGGCAUUUGUAUUAAACGCUCCGGCGCCAUAGGAUGGACCCGCGUCCCAUUAGCUAGUUGGUGAGAUAACAGCUCACCAAGGCCACGAUGGGUAACCGGUCUGAGAGGGCGAACGGUCACACUGGAACUGAGACACGGUCCAGACUCCUACGGGAGGCAGCAGUGGGGAAUAUUGCGCAAUGGGGGCAACCCUGACGCAGCAAUACCGCGUGAGUGAAGAAGGUUUUCGGAUCGUAAAGCUCUGUUAUUGGGGAAGAAAAAAAGACGGUACCCAAGAAGAAAGUUCCGGCUAACUACGUGCCAGCAGCCGCGGUAAUACGUAGGGAACAAGCGUUGUCCGGAUUUACUGGGCGUAAAGGGCACGCAGGCGGUUUUUUAAGUCAGAUGUGAAAGGCCACAGCUCAACUGUGGACAUGCAUUUGAAACUGAAAGACUUGAGUAUUGGAGAGGCAAGUGGAAUUCCUAGUGUAGCGGUGAAAUGCGUAGAUAUUAGGAGGAACACCGGUGGCGAAGGCGGCUUGCUGGACAAAUACUGACGCUGA